rnacentral:rRNA from 1 species
AGAGUUUGAUCCUGGCUCAGGACGAACGCUGGCGGUGUGCUUAAUACAUGCAAGUCGAACGAUAAGGUCUCUUCGGAGAUACAUAAGUGGCGGACGGGUGAGUAAUACGUAGGUAAUCUACCUUAAGGAGGGGGAUAACGUUGGGAAACUGACGCUAAUACCCCAUAUGUGCCAAGUUGAAAUACUUGUCAUAAAAGUUCCGGCGCCUUAAGAUGAGCCUGCGGCUGAUUAGCUUGUUGGUGGGGUAAAGGCCUACCAAGGCUACGAUCAGUAGCUGGUCUGAGAGGAUGAUCAGCCACAAUGGGACUGAGACACGGCCCAUACUCCUACGGGAGGCAGCAGUAGGGAAUUUUGCGCAAUGGGCGAAAGCCUGACGCAGCAACACCGCGUGAGGGAUGAAGCUUUUUGGAGUGUAAACCUCUGUCAGUGGGGAAGAAACCUGACUGUACCCACAGAGGAAGCAUCGGCUAACUACGUGCCAGCAGCCGCGGUAAGACGUAGGAUGCAAGCGUUGUCCGGAUUUAUUGGGCGUAAAGAGUUCGUAGGUGGUCUAUCAAGUCUGGUGUUAAAGCCCGGAGCUCAACUCCGGAUCGGCCCUGGAUACUGGUAGGCUAGAGUGCAGAAGAGGCAAGGGGAAUUCCCAGUGUAGCGGUGAAAUGCGUAGAUAUUGGGAGGAACACCGGUGGCGAAAGCGCCUUGCUGGGCUGUUACUGACGCUGAGGAACGAAAGCCAGGGGAGCGAAUGGGAUUAGAUACCCCAGUAGUCCUGGCCGUAAACGAUGGAUACUAGGUGUCAUGGGUAUCGACCCCCGUGGUGCCGUAGCUAACGCGAUAAGUAUCCCGCCUGGGGAGUACGCACGCAAGUGUGAAACUCAAAUGAAUUUGACGGAAUCUGAAUCGU